rnacentral:rRNA from 1 species
UACGUAGGGGGCAAGCGUUGUCCGGAAUCAUUGGGCGUAAAGAGCGUGUAGGCGGUCCUGUAAGUCCGCUGUGAAAGUCAAGGGCUCAACCCUUGAAUGCCGGUGGAUACUGCAGGACUAGAGUCCGGAAGAGGCGAGUGGAAUUCCUGGUGUAGCGGUGAAAUGCGCAGAUAUCAGGAGGAACACCGAUGGCGAAGGCAGCUCGCUGGACGGUACUGACGCUGAGGAGCGAAGACGUGGGGAGCGAACAGG